rnacentral:rRNA from 1 species
CGAACGCUGGCGGCGUGCUUAACACAUGCAAGUCGAACGGAAAGGCCCUGCUUUUGUGGGGUGCUCGAGUGGCGAACGGGUGAGUAACACGUGAGUAACCUGCCCUUGACUUUGGGAUAACUUCAGGAAACUGGGGCAAUACCGGAUAGGAGCUCCUGCUGCAUGGUGGGGGUUGGAAAGUUUCGGCGGUUGGGGAUGGACUCGCGGCUUAUCAGCUUGUUGGUGGGGUAGUGGCUUACCAAGGCUUUGACGGGUAGCCGGCCUGAGAGGGUGACCGGCCACAUUGGGACUGAGAUACGGCCCAGACUCCUACGGGAGGCAGCAGUGGGGAAUAUUGCACAAUGGGCGGAAGCCUGAUGCAGCAACGCCGCGUGCGGGAUGACGGCCUUCGGGUUGUAAACCGCUUUCGCCUGUGACGAAGCGUGAGUGACGGUAAUGGGUAAAGAAGCACCGGCUAACUACGUG